rnacentral:rRNA from 1 species
AACGAACGCUGGCGGCAUGCCUAACACAUGCAAGUCGAACGAGACCUUCGGGUCUAGUGGCGCACGGGUGCGUAACGCGGGGGAACCUGCCCUUAGGUUCGGAAUAACUCCCCGAAAGGGGUGCUAAUACCGGAUAAUUUCUUCGUACCAAAGAUUUAACGCCUUUGGAUGUGGCGGAGUUGGAUAAGCUAGUUGGUAGGGUAAAAGCCUACCAAGGCGACGAUCCAGAGAUGGUCAGAGAGAAUGAUCAGCCACACUGGAGCUGGGACGCGGCCCAGAAUUUUAGGGAAGGCGGCAGUGGCUGAUAUAGGACAAUGGGCGAGAGGAUGAUCGCCCUAUGCCUCGUGAGUAAUGAAGUCCUUAGAGAAGUAACGCUCGUUUAUCCCGGGGGAUGAUGACGGUACCGGAAGAAUAAGAUCCGGCUAACUACGUG